GGGCCUGGUCACAGGUUGUUCUGACCCAGUCAGGUCCAGAACUGAAGAAACCCGGAGAAUCCACUCGGCUGAAAUGCGCCGUGAGCGGGUUCGCUGUCUCCAGCGAUUAUAUGGCGUGGGUCAGACAGGAGCCGGGAAAGGGGCUGGAGAGGCUGGUCAGGUAUCACACACCUACAGCUACGAAUUACUACUCUGACAGCAUCCAGGGCCGAUUCACGGCCUCCAAAGACAGCUCCAAUUUCUACCUGCAAAUGACCAGCCUGAAACCCCAGGACACCGCCGUACGGGAGCCUGGGAAGGGGCUGGAGUGGCUGGCCAGGUACUAUGAUCCCUCCAUCCACAGUUACGCCUCCUCCAUGCAGGGGAGAUCUACAGCCUUCAAGGACAGCACCACUUUCUGCUUGCACAUGAACAGCCUGAAAGCCGAGGGCACCGCGGUGUAG